GGUGGGGGCCAGUCCUUGCUCCGAGAGCUUCCAAGAUGGCGGCGGGCCGCUUCCAAAAUGGGAUGGUGGCAAGCCUCUUGUUCUCUGACCUGGGGUUCUUGGCCUCGCAGAUUCCAAGGAAUGAAAUCUUGGGCCAUGCGCUCCCCAAAUACUGGCAGCUGAAAAAAAUGAGUGAAUGAAGAAGGAGGAAGCCAGGGGAGACAAAGAAACAGGAUACACAACACAGGGGAAAGAUGAAAAGGACUCCCCAGGAUGGUGGUGAAGAGAGUUGCUAGGAUGACAACUGUGCAUCAAGCUUAAAACCCAGAUUGGAGCGUGUGAACCAAGAGAUAUAUAUGGCAUCAUCUUUUUGAACUAAAAAUGGCUGCGUGAACCUGGCCCAGUGUUUAUCUGUACUUGGCUUUCCUGGGUCACAUGUAGAUGAAGUACCGAUCUCUUCUCCUUCUUGGGUCAGCUGAGGACAGUCAUUCCCUCCAUAGGGAUGUUCUGCUCGGACCUGUUCCUGAGAGCUGGAGGUUGGUCAAGGUAAGAAUAGAAGUAGGAAAUAUGAGGAAGAUUCCUGCCUGUUGUCUAGCACCUGGCCUAUACUGUCCUCUGCCAAAUGUCCCAGUUGUGGUGAGCCCAGUGUUUCUCAGAACUCGCUCAUUCCCUGGUCCACCGACUCCUCCAGAAGGUUUUGGUAAACUGUCAGUCAAGAUAAAGUCAGACGAUGAGCCAGAAUCAUAGUCUUUUUCUGUAAAUUCCUCUUUUCCACUUAACAUUAUUUUAAUGAAAUUUAUCCAUGUUUAUAUAUUUAGGUCCAGUUCAUUGAUUUUCUCAGCCAUAUAGUAUUCUAUUGUUUGACUACACUGCAACUUACAAAUCUUCCUUUUGUUGGUUGUACUUUUAGGUUGCUUUUUUUUUUACGUUAUGAGCAGGCAAGGCUUUUAGGAAUAUCUUUCCACAUAUCUCCCCGUGAACAUGUAAUAUUCUCUCUGGUAUUUACUUAGAGGGGUACUGCUGGAUUAUAACAUUUGUUCCUAACAAUGAAUAUUUCCAAAUUUUCCUAAGUACCUUUUACCAAUUUUUACUCCCACCAGCAAUGUAUAAAAGCUUCUGGUGCUCUGCAUUCUCACGAAUACCUGGUCUUGCCAGACUUUAAUUGAAGUUUGCUAGUUAAAUGUGUGUAAAAUGUUUCCUCAUUGUUAUUUUCAUUUAUAUGUGACCAAUGAGAUUGAACUUUUUUUAAUGUCUAUUAGCCAUUAUAUGUCGUAUUAUAUGACUUGCCUAUUCAUAUUUUUGGUACACUUUUCUAUUUUGUUAUUCAAUGUUUUUCUCUAGAUUUGAGAAAGUUAUAUAUUAUAUAUUCAAAAUUUAUAUAUUUUGAAUUAUAAUCCUUUAUUGGUUAUAGUGUUGCAGAUAUCUUGUCCCAGAGUAUUGCCGUCUCCUUGAUUUUUAUUAUAGUGUCUUAUUUUGGGUAAACUUUUAAAAAAUUAAAAUAUAAUAGACAUAAAUGGGGGUAGAAAUCUUAAGGGUAUAGUUCUAUAAAUGUUUACAAAUGAAUCUACCUAUGUAAAAAUAUUAUGUGCCUUUUGAUGAUUUGUUUUGUUUUGUUUUGUUUUGUUUUGAGAUUGAGUCUUGCUAUUUUGCCCAGGCUGGACUUCAACUCCUGGGCUCAAGUGAUCCUCUUGCUUCAGUCCCAAGUAGUUGGGAUUACAGGUGUGCACCACCAUGCUCAGCUCUUUUGAUGCAUUUUUAACAAUGUAGUUGAAUGAAAGAAACUUUCCAUUUAUGGUUUGUGAGUUUGUGUUUUGUUUAAGAAAUUCUCCUUUAUCCUAAUGUCAUAGACAUGUUCUCUUACUUCUAAACACUUUAAAUAGUUUUGGUUUUAUUUCACUUCAUGGAUAUGGAAUGGGUAUAUGUGUGUGUGUGCAUGUGCACAUGUGCAUACAAUUUGAAGUAGUGAUCCAGUUUUUUAAUACGGAUUUUAUUCAAGUGCUAUUUAUUGGCCAUCAUUACCCUCUGAUCUACAAAUCACCACUUUCAUGCAUCAAGAUUCCAUAUGUGUGUGGGUCUAAUUUCUGGCCACUCUAUUGUGUUCCAUGGAUCUCCUUGUCUGGCUUUGUGCUGUGAGGGAGAAAAAGAUAUUCCAGGAAUAUCGGCCCAAUAAGCUGAUUUUUUUUUGUUCUUGAGAACUGAACUAGAUUAUCAUUUUUUUUUUCCUUUUAAAGUCUUCUCAGAUCUUGUCAAAGAUUCCAGGAAUAUCUUUUUCUCACCUAUCAAAAAGUUCAUUGUUGUGACACCUAUAAUAAAAAACAGAUUAACAAGA